rnacentral:rRNA from 1 species
ACGUACCUUUUGGUUCGGAACAACACAGGGAAACUUGUGCUAAUACCGGAUAAGCCCUUACGGAGAAAGAUUUAUCGCCGAAAGAUCGGCCCGCGUCUGAUUAGCUAGUUGGUGAGGUAAUGGCUCACCAAGGCGACGAUCAGUAGCUGGUCUGAGAGGAUGAUCAGCCACAUUGGGACUGAGACACGGCCCAAACUCCUACGGGAGGCAGCAGUGGGGAAUAUUGGACAAUGGGCGCAAGCCUGAUCCAGCCAUGCCGCGUGAGUGAUGAAGGCCCUAGGGUUGUAAAGCUCUUUUGUGCGGGAAGAUAAUGACGGUACCGCAAGAAUAAGCCCCGGCUAACUUCGUGCCGCGGUAAUACCAAGGGGGCUAGCGUUGCUUCGGAAU